GGCGGACGGGUGAGUAACGCGUAGGAAUCUACCCAGUAGUGGGGGAUAACAGCUGGAAACGGCUGCUAAUACCGCAUAACAUCGCAAGAUCAAAGGUGGCCUCUUCUUGAAAGCUAUCGCGAUAGGAUGAACCCAAGUGGGAUUAGCUAGUUGGUGAGGUAAUGGCUCACCAAGGCGACGAUCUCUAGCUGGUCUGAGAGGAUGAUCAGCCACACUGGAACUGAGACACGGUCCAGACUCC
rnacentral:rRNA from 1 species